GAUGAACGCUGGCGGCGUGCUUAACACAUGCAAGUCGAACGAAGCACCUCUCCCGAAGAUUGACCCAGCUUGCUGUAGAUUGAUUCAUUUGAGGUGACUGAGUGGCGGACGGGUGAGUAACGCGUGGGUAACCUGCCUCAUAGAGGGGGACAACAGUUGGAAACGACUGCUAAUACCGCAUAGUAAGAAGAAUUCGCAUGUUUUCUUCUUGAAAGAUUUAUCGCUAUGAGAUGGACCCGCGUCUGAUUAGCUAGUUGGUAAGGUAACGGCUUACCAAGGCGACGAUCAGUAGCCGGCUUGAGAGAGUGAACGGCCACAUUGGGACUGAGACACGGCCCAAACUCCUACGGGAGGCAGCAGUGGGGAAUAUUGCACAAUGGGGGAAACCCUGAUGCAGCGACGCCGCGUGAGUGAAGAAGUAUUUCGGUAUGCAAAGCUCUAUCAGCAGGGAAGAUAAUGACGGUACCUGACUAAGAAGCCCCGGCUAACUACGUG
rnacentral:rRNA from 1 species